rnacentral:rRNA from 1 species
GGCCGUGCUAAUCUGCGAAAAGCGUCGGUAAGGUGAUAUGAACCGUUAGAGCCGGCGAUGUCCGAAUGGGGAAACCCAGUGCAAGUCGUUGCACUAUCGUUAACUGAAUACAUAGGUUAACGAGGCGAACCGGGGGAACUGAAACAUCUAAGUACCCCGAUGAAAAGAAAUCAACCGAGAUUCCCCCAGUAGCGGCGAGCGAACGGGUAGCAGCCCAGCGUCUGAAUCAGCUUGUGUG